UACGUAGGGGGCAAGCGUUGUCCGGAAUCAUUGGGCGUAAAGAGCGUGUAGGCGGCCCGAUAAGUCCGCUGUGAAAGUCCAGGGCUCAACCCUGGAAUGCCGGUGGAUACUGUCGGGCUCGAAUCCGGAAGAGGUGAGUGGAAUUCCUGGAUGUAGCGGUGAAAUGCGCAGAUAUCAGGAGGAACACCAAUGGCGAAGGCAGCUCACUGGGACGGUAUUGACGCUGAGACGCGAAAGCGUGGGGAGCGAACAGG
rnacentral:rRNA from 1 species